UAAGCUCGAUCGGUUCAAAGGGAGCGGGAGGGAGAUGAAGAGGCAGAUAAAAGGGACAGAGUGCUGUUGAACGAUGAGGCGGAGCGAGGGGAGCUAACUCUCGCAGGGUGUUGUUUUUAGGGGAGCGCGUGCUCCCUGGGCAACGAGGAGCACGCGCAGCAUCCGCACGAGGCCGGUGCUGGUGGGAGCAGCUAACCUCAGGCGCUUUCCUUGAACACGCAUUCACAGUAACCUUAAAAUUCUCCUCACACCAUCCUCCUCCUCAUCAUCAUCAUCAUCACCCAUCCUUCGCUGCUACGGGCUGAAUAAAACGCUGGGCGGACUCUUCACUGCAGGAAAUACUAACUUUAACCGGUUAUUUAAAUAUUGUGAUGCAGCUUCUGUUUUCACUGAGCUAAAAGAAGUCAUAGUCCGCGCUCCUCCUCUGCAUCGUCUGAGUUUAGUUCAUGCUGUCAAAUACAGAAUUAAUGCAGAUUUAAGCGGAAACAUACAGUAUGAGUGUCUAUGUCUCACUCAUUUAAACCAUUUUCCUUCUCUGUAGGUUUUAAUUUAUUUUAAGGCCCAUUUCAAUGUGCAGCCAUCGCAAUAUUCACACAGCCGGAACGAGGCCUCCUCUUCCUCCUCCUCUUCCUCCUCCUCCUCCUCCUCCGCCCGAAGGUGACAGAUGGGCAGGUAAGCUCCUGCUGAAAUCCGAACAGAUGACGGCGCUAAUCCGCUAAAGUGAUUCCCUCCAUCAGCGCCGCGUUAACCUCGCGUCUCUGACGGUGCGUCAUCCGGCACGCGUGCUCGUGCACGACAGAGAGACGCGUGGGGAGAGCUUCUAGACCCCCACUCCACGGCGGCCACCAGUAAUGCGUGUUUAUGCACAUUCAGGCCUGAUGUGAGUUGUUUACAGAAAACAACUUUAGUCUCAUAUCUGUGGUCUGAAUGUGCAUCUGCCUCCACCUAAUCACCGUCACCUACAGUAAAAAAUAGGAAACAGCUUGUUGAAGAUUAAAACCAAUGGACACAAGCCUUGACAUGUUUUACAAAAUACGUUUUGCUUUGUGUUGUGUGUCGUUCUUCAAAUUUUUAUUUGUCACGUCUAGUAAAAACUGAUAAGACAAACAGUGAUUAUGCAUCUAUGAGGGCUGUCAGCAGAGGGCGCCAUCACCACACGCGCCCUCUCACCAGUGAUGAACAGCAAAAGCAAAAUUAAUGUUGUCAGUGAGCCUCUGCUGUUCAACACAUGCUCCGCCUUCGUUGAAUCCUCGCAGAGGUGAGUCAGUGGCAGCGAAGGGGAAGUGCAGACUGGUCACGAGCGCCUGAGCGCGCGACUAACACGCUUACAGGCCACUAGGGGGCGGACUGUCACCACUGUUACCCACAGCACAACCCACUGACCCCACGUUGCAUCUGCGGGCGGAGGGUGGUGGCCACAGGUGGUGCUGGCUGUUGGAGGGACAGAAGCUGCCGCGUGCACAGAGGCCGGCGGGGCCGUUUGAGGCGAGGACCCGCGCUUUGCAUCUCUGAGAUGAAAGGCUGGAAAAAAGGUUCGAGGAAACAAACCGCGCGCCGCCUCACCUGCUGAACAAACAGCACUGGCGCAAUAGGAACAAAGACUCCGUGGGGGUGGAGGGGGGUUCAGGGAGGAGGUGAAGUGGGGUUUUCACUCGUCGUGCAUCUCCGUCACACAAUCAGGCCUUGUUGCUCCCUCAGCGGAGAAGCUGUGGACGGACACAGACGGAGAUGAAUGUGAGCUUUGUUCGAAUGUCAUGUUCCAGGCGUGUACAGGGUGAACCGGGCUUCUCGGAGGUACAACAGUCCCAUGAUGAGUUAAGUACGAAUCACUGAAAAGGGUGUUAAAGGUUAACAUUCUUAUAAAUGCAGCCGUCGCCAUCUGUUGCUGUCAUGGCGAUUCGCCGCCUCUAAUUCUUAUCCGGGGCUUUUUUCCUUUUUUUGUUCUUAUCUGUCACCCUUGCUCGAGCGUUACGUAAUCCCACAGCGCUGACACACAUGUUCUGUACCGUUCGACCGAGGGCCGUGGAGCAGUAGCUGCCCUCUGGUGCGGCCGUGGGGAAGGAAGUUCAGGCCGGAUCACAUGAGCGCGGUGAAAAAACAAAAAAAAAAGAAAAACAA